rnacentral:rRNA from 1 species
UACGUAGGUGGCGAGCGUUGUCCGGAUUUACUGGGCGUAAGGAGCGCGCAGGCGGCUGGUCAAGUCCGAUGUGAAAGCUCCCGGCUUAACUGGGAAAUUGCAUCGGAAACUGGCGAACUGGAGUGUGGCAGAGGGGGGUGGAAUUCCGCGUGUAGCAGUGAAAUGCGUAGAGAUGCGGAGGAACACCGAUGGCGAAGGCAGCCCCCUGGGCUAGCACUGACGCUCAGGCACGAAAGCGUGGGGAGCAAACAGG